CGGGAGGUUGGCGGUGGACGCACCACUCGCCAACCGGGUCAGGUCCGGAAGGAAGCAGCCCAGACGAGACCGGGCGGGUUUCUGUCCAGCCUCCCACCU
rnacentral:SRP_RNA from 1 species